rnacentral:lncRNA from 1 species
GGCCUAUACCACAACCACACAGCAACACCAGGUCCAAGCAGCAUCUGCUACCUACACGAGUGCUCACUGGCAACGCUGGAUCCUUAACCUGCCUACCGAGCAAGGCAAGAGAUGGAACCCGCAUCCUCAUGGAUGCUAGUCAGGUUCCUAACCUGCUGUGCUACAAUGGGAACUCUGAGAAGUAUUCAAUUUUUAGACACAGUUACUGGAAAGAAUGGAAGUUAAAAAUAAAGCGGCUGGGAUCCAUAGAAGUUGAUGCUGCAGGUCUGCAUGAUGAAAAGUGUCGUAGAGAGUUCUUGAGUCUGAAGGCCAAUGAUAUCAGAUGGAAAGUGGGAUCUACAACAUGAAAGAACGGCGUUGGAAAUGAUAAAUAUAUGGGGGAAGGCAGUGAUUGUGUCAAACAGCCGUAUGGAGAGGUCUGCAUAGGGAAGAACUGAAGUCUACCAAAACCCACAGGAAUAAUCUUGGAUGUGGACACUCUAUCCCCAGCCUCUCCUCUUCUCUCUGUCCAGGUGAAAGAUUUCUGUCCUCAAAAUAGAUUACACAAUGUUCCAUCAGAUACUGUAACAUCCCCUGAGGAUUUUCAUGCCUUUAUAAUCUCAUCUGAAGACUAAAAGAACCCUAGCCACUACCAAGUUCUUUAUGAAAAGUCGUGGGUAGAAAUGAAGGAUGGAUUUAAAAAAAUAAUUAAAUAAAACACGAAGAUGUAAGCUCAGCUUCUACAUAAUGGAUCAUGAGGUGAGUCCUUCUCAGCUGUGGACCAGACAUCAAGCAUCACUGGAGGGCAAUUCUCACUUUUCUUUGACAACGAUCACGUUUCCUUUUCCAGAUGACAUCUGCCUAGUAUGUAAUUGGUGACCACAUCCAAGUAAACAUGUGGAAAAUGAGAGCAAGUGGGUGUGUGAGCUCGAAGGGAAUGGCUUAUUUGGGGGAUGAUGGAAGGGCGCAAAUCUGGAAGGAGUUCAGUUCUAUGAGUAUGUAUUUCUAGUCUUCAAAAGAUUACCACAUACAUGCUGUCAUACAAUUUAUAAUGUGCCUGAGAAAAUUAGCUCAAUGUAGAGAAGGGACAUGGGUUUUGCACUCAGCCCUGCUUUAGUUCCAAUACCAGAUCAGAUGCUACUGUCUAUGUGGUCGCUUCCAUGUUACUUUACCUUGCUAAGCCUUAAUUAUCCCAUCUGAGAAAUGAUGGUGCAAUGCUCAGAGUAUUUUGAUGCUAGGCAUUUAAAGAAUGGGACAUUGGGUGGAUGUUCCCAUAGGUCAUGUAGAUCCCCCUUCAGGAAUGGACUUCCCCAGCUGCAGGGAGUGCUACUGAAGAUGGCCCUCGGUGUCAAUCUUUGUUGAAAGAAGAAAAUUGAUUUGCUCCCUGUUCCCCCUUCUCUCAAGGGGCAAACUGUUUCCAAUGACUGGUCAGUGGUCUGGCCAACUCCUCCCAAUCUGGUCUAGCUCUAAAAGGCCAUCUCUGCCCCAGAACUCUUCAUGGGGUCAGUUGAUGAUACUUGUUAGGAGUGUGUCAGAGCUCAACAUCUCACUCUGCCCAACCCUGUCUUUCCUCUCCCCUCCCACAUAUGUCAACCCCAAAGUCCUCCUGAAUAAAAUGUUAUAUACCAAGUUUCAAUCUAGAGCCUGGUUUCUGGUAAACUCCACUUGAGGCAGGUACUUUACUUUAUUACUAUUAUAAUAAUUAUUAAAAACCCUCUACUCCUUCCUAUGAUGGGUGGGCCCUGGUAUACUCAGUACCUUGAUGGUUCCAAGAGGGUUUUUAGGUUAAUACAGGAAAGGAGUGAACUAAACUCCAUAUUUAGGAGGGUGUUGGUAUAGUUUAUGGUUAGGAAGAAAUUGAGUUGUAGUCAGAGAAGAGGAAGACUAGGGGAGAGGAGGACAAGAACAUCCUACUCUGGAACAAGAGUAAGAAUAAGAGGCUUGGGAGUUCAGAUAUGUUUAAUGAGGACUUCUAUAUCGUAAGGUUUCUGGAACCACCAUGCUUGAGUACUGUUCCCACCUCUGCUGCUUCCUUAUUCUAUCACUGAGCAAGUUUUUAUUUUAUUUAUGAAUUUAUUUAUUUUUUUAAAUGGCUGUGCCUGAGGUGUAUGGAAUUUCCUAGGCUAGGGGUCAAAUCAGAGCUACAACUUCAGACCUACACCACAGCCAUGGCAACACCAGAUCCGAGCCGUCUCUGAGACCUUCGCCGCAGCUUGUGGCAACACUGGAUCCUUAACCCACUGAUGGAGCCAGAGAUCAAACCCACAUCCUCAUGGAACAUUAUGUCGGUUCUUAACCUACUGAGCCACUACAGGAACCCCAGAGGAAGUUAUUUUACACAUUUAUGUCUCAUUUUCCUUAUCCAUAAAACAGGAAUAGUUAGAGCAUCUACUUCAAAGUGUUGUUCUGAAGAUUAAAUGACUUCAUUAAAAGCAAGAAGAUUAAAAAAACCUUAUUUUUCCAUAUAGUUGCCACCAUCCAAUGGGAAGUCAGAGGAGCAUCCAUAAAUUAUAAUAAUAAAGUUUUAUGAUGUGGAUGUACAUGACUGUAGUUGUUUCAUAGAACACAGCAUUCCUCAGGCCACGUGCAAGGAAGAAUGAAGUCUUUGCAGAAGAAGUGACAUCUGAGAGAUUGCAGAAUGAGUAGGAGUUUAGCAGGAAAGGCAGAGACGAUGGAUGGCAUUCGAGAAGGCUUGGAGGGAGGUGUGAGAGGUCUUGAGACUGUGAGAAUAUCUGAGGUUAUUGACUUUCUCUGACUGGAAGCUACAGGCUGUGGAAGGGAGUGGGUGGUCAGCGAUGACAUAGAGAAAUGGGCAGAGACUAGCCAGCUGGGCUGGACCCUGACUGCCCGCUGGGAUCUCACCCUGGGGGUGUUAAGGAAUAGGGUGUGGCAAGACAGAUUUGCAGUCUGGCAUCUUUGAGGAAAUGAUGAUAGGUGUGGAGUCAGGAGGUUGAGAAAGACAUUCCCAAACUUGUUCUUCCUUCUCUUUAGCUGACCUAGGUGGUAAUGGCUUCUAAAAAAUGAAAAUAAUAUUUACAAAGUGAUUUUGGAGUUCUUAUUCACACCAUUAUUCUUUACUGUUAAAAAUGUAAAUUGUAGCAAUCUUUUUAGAGGGCAAUUUGGCAAUAAUUGUCCAUUUCGAAUAACAUAUACACUUCAAAGUAUACAUUUAUUUUCUAGACAUGUAGCUCCAUUAACACAUUGACAAACAUAUUUUAACAUGGGUGUUCACUAAAGCAUAGUUUGUAAUGGGCAAAGACUAAACACAAACGUAGUAUGCAUACGUAUGGUAUUGAUUGAAUUGAAUUACAAGAAUUUAAUGGAACACUAUGCAAUCAUGAGAAAGAGUAAAGCAGAAGGGCAUAUGUGUGGACAUAAGAGAAAAUAAAAGAUAUUGAAAACAGCACAUAAUGUGCCUUCAUUUGAAUAAGUGCAUAUUACACAUAGAAUGUUUUUGGCAGAAUACACUGAUGCUGGUAACAGUGAUUGCCUUCAGAGAAAGGAAGAAGCCUAUUCCUUGGUCUGGAAUAAGCCUAUUCUGAUGGUCUGGAGUAGAAGGAUGUUAUUCAAUGAAUGCUUGUAUCCACCCAAGUUCAUAUUUUGAUGUCCUAACCCCUAGGUAGCUGUAUUUGGAGUUGGGACCUAGAAGGAAAAUGUCCUUAAAUGAUGUCAUAAGGUUAGGGUCCUAAUUCAACCAUAGUGUCCUUACAGGAAGACACAUCAGAGUACUCUCUGUCUCUCCACCCAGGUACCAAGGAAAGGCCGUGUGAGGACAUAGUGAAGAGGUAGCUGUCCACAAACCAAGAGGGUGCUCACCAGGAACUUAAUUUGCCAGCACCUUGAUUCUGGAUUCCCCAGUCUCCAGAAAUGUGAGAAAAGAAGUAUCUGUUGUUUAAGUCCCAAACCCCACGGUAUUUUGGUAGUCCAAGCAGACUGUUAGAAGAGGAGACUUAACUUUUUUUUUUUUUUGGUUGCGUCCAAGGCAUGUGGAAUUUCCCAGGCCAGAUAUUGAACUGCACCACAGCAGUGACCCAAGCUGCUUCAGUGACACCACCAGAUCCUUAAGCUGCUGCGCCACAAGAGAACUCCAAGGGGGACUUACUUUUAAUUGUAUACUUUUCUCUUAACAAUGUAGACAUCCUGGUAAAAUGUCUAAGAAAGUGCCAUUAAGUUAAGGGACAGGGAAAAACCUGCCCCUACCUUCAUAAGAAUCUCAAAGUUUCCAGCUUUCUCCUUUCAAGGCUCUUCCCCUUCCCUGGUAAUGCAUGUCCCCCUCAGAGGCCAUUAAUAUUUACUGCUACUGUAGAUAUCUCUCUGAUGCCUGGAAGACUCCAGCAGUACAUGCUGCUGUUCCUUCAGGAUCUGAUCUGGGACAUCAGAGUUACUCAGGUACAAGAGCAGCAGUAAAGCACGGUAGAGGGUGAGUGGGUUUCUGAGUUAGGCAGUCUUAUAUUUGAGACCUUACCUCUGCACCUUAUUAGUCGUCUAGCUGAAGCCAUCUAUAAAACUUCCCUGAAUCUCUGUUUUUCCAUUUGAAAAAAGAGGUCAAGAAUAAACAGUGUACAGAGAACCAUUUUGUCUUUUUUUUUUGGUCUUUUUGUCUUUUCUAGGGCCCAUGGUGUAUGGAGGUUCCCAGGCUAGGGGUCUAAUUGGAGCUGUAGCCACCAGCCUACGCCAGAGCCAUAGCAAUGUAGGAUCCAAGCUGCUUCUGCGACCUGCACCACAGCUCAUGGCAACGCCGGAUCCUUAACCCACUGAUUGAGGCCAGGGAUUGAACCUGCAAUCUUAUGGUUUCUAGUUGGAUUCGUUAACCACUGCGCCACGACAGCAACUCCCAGAGACCCAUUUUGAAGAUUAGCAAUAAAACAUAGAGUGUGCCUGGCACCUAAUAGACACUCAAGAAGUGGCUGUUAUUAUUGCAAGUGACAGUGUUGUUUUUGUCUCUUUUGUUCUUGAGAGUGACUGUCAACCCAACAAACACCAGUGGCCAUUCUCUCCUUGUUUAGUGCAAUUUCUCCCUCUGUAUCAGGACCAUAGCUCAUUAAUUAAAAAAAAAA